UAAUGUUAUUUUAUAUUUUUUUAAGAGUAAAACACAUGUACACAAAUAUUUCCUUUUACUAAUUAUGAGAUUUUCAGGUAAGUUAUUGAGCUAUUUCUGUUUGAUUUGUUAGGAGAUUAGUUUUGUCCGUUUACAAGUUAACAUUGCUUGUGUUAUUCUUGGCAAGUAAUCAUUUCUUAUAUAAAUUUUUGUACACUAUAGGCUUAUCUUUUUAAAUUUUAGGUAGCGUGUGGAGAUUUCAUCUUAUGUUCAUGAGCGCACAACGUAUAAAAUAUAAAAUCAUAAGAAAUGUUUUCUGGUGGUGUGUAGCAGUUAACCGCAUUUAAGUAAAAAUAUUUUAAAAUGAUUGUUACCAGAGCUGAAUUACAUUGAGGCUUGUGGAGAACAGCUUUUUUUUAAUCUACUCUUUGGCUGGCGAAUGUAAAUAAGCAAUGAUUUUGUGAAUGCAGCGAGAGAGUUUAUUUGAUGUAUUUUAAAAUCACUGAUAAUAUUUAUUGAUGUAUUUUAAAAUCACUGAUAAUAUUUAUUGAUGUAUUUUAAAAUCACUGAUAAUAUUUGUUUUGUGGCUGGAAGAUGGUAACCAUGGUGACUUGUGAAUUUUUAUGAAGAUUAAUAAAAAGCAGUAAAAAUUA